CCAAGUUUUUAAGGGCGCACGGUGGAUGCCUUGGCACCAGGAACCGAUGAAGGACGUGGGAGGCCACGAUAGGCCCCGGGGAGUCGUCAACCAGGCUUUGAUCCGGGGGUGUCCGAAUGGGGAAACCCGGCAGUCGUCAUGGGCUGUCACCCGCUGCUGAACACAUAGGCAGUGUGGAGGGAACGCGGGGAAGUGAAACAUCUCAGUACCCGCAGGAAGAGAAAACAACCGUGAUUCCGGGAGUAGUGGCGAGCGAAACCGGAUGAGGCCAAACCGUAUACGUGUGAGACCCGGCAGGGGUUGCGUGUGCGGGGUUGUGGGAUCUCUCUUCCACGGUCUGCCGGCCGUGGGACGAGUCAGAAACCGUUGAUGUAGGCGAAGGACAUGCGAAAGGUCCGGCGUAGAGGGUAAGACCCCCGUAGUCGAAACGUCAGCGGCUCGUUUGAGAGACACCCAAGUAGCACGGGGCCCGAGAAAUCCCGUGUGAAUCUGGCGGGACCACCCGCUAAGCCUAAAUAUUCCCUGGUGACCGAUAGCGGAUAGUACCGUGAGGGAAUGGUGAAAAGUACCGCGGGAGCGGAGUGAAAUAGUACCUGAAACCGUGUGCCUACAAGCCGUGGGAGCGUCGGGCAUCAAGCUUGCUUGGUGUCUCGUGACUGCGUGCCUUUUGAAGAAUGAGCCUGCGAGUUUGCGGUGUGUUGCGAGGUUAACCCGGGUGGGGAAGCCGUAGCGAAAGCGAGUCCGAACAGGGCGAUUUUAGUAGCACGCUCAAGACCCGAAGCGGAGUGAUCUAGCCAUGGGCAGGUUGAAGCGGCUGUAAGAGGUCGUGGAGGACCGAACCCACCAGGGUUGAAAACCUGGGGGAUGACCUGUGGUUAGGGGUGAAAGGCCAAUCAAACUCCGUGAUAGCUGGUUCUCCCCGAAAUGCAUUUAGGUGCAGCGUCGUGUGUUUCUUGCCGGAGGUAGAGCACUGGAUAGGCGAUGGGCCCUACCGGGUUACUGACCUUAGCCAAACUCCGAAUGCCGGUAAGUGAGAGCGCGGCAGUGAGACUGUGGGGGAUAAGCUCCAUGGUCGAGAGGGAAACAGCCCAGAGCAUCGACUAAGGCCCCUAAGCGUACGCUAAGUGGGAAAGGAUGUGGAGUCGCACAGACAACCAGGAGGUUGGCUUAGAAGCAGCCACCCUUGAAAGAGUGCGUAAUAGCUCACUGGUCUAGUGAUUCCGCGCCGACAAUGUAGCGGGGCUCAAGCGUACCGCCGAAGUCGUGUCAUUGCAGCAAUACGGCCAACGCCGGCUGUGAUGGGUAGGGGAGCGUCGUGUGCCGGGUGAAGCAGCCGCGGAAGCGAGUUGUGGACGGUUCACGAGUGAGAAUGCAGGCAUGAGUAGCGAUACAAACGUGAGAAACGUUUGCGCCGAUUGACUAAGGGUUCCUGGGUCAAGCUGAUCUGCCCAGGGUAAGUCGGGACCUAAGGCGAGGCCGACAGGCGUAGUCGAUGGAUAACCGGUUGAUAUUCCGGUACCCGCUGUGAAGCGUCAAACAUCGAGCAUCGUGAUGCUAAGGCCGUGAAGCCGCCCUGAUCUCUUCGGAGUUGAGGGGAGUGGUGGAGCCGCCGAACCAAGCGGUUAGUAGGUGAGUGAUGGGGUGACGCAGGAAGGUAGUCCAUCCCGGGCGGUGGUUGUCCCGGGGUAAGGGUGUAGGACGUCAGGUAGGUAAAUCCGCCUGGCAAUAGUCUGAGACCUGAUGCCGAGCCGAUUGUGGUGAAGUGGAUGAUCCUAUGCUGUCGAGAAAAGCCUCUAGCGAGUUUCAUGGCGGCCCGUACCCUAAACCGACUCAGGUGGUCAGGUAGAGAAUACCGAGGCGUUCGGGUGAACUAUGGUUAAGGAACUCGGCAAAAUGCCCCCGUAACUUCGGGAGAAGGGGGGCCACACCCGGUGACGAGAUUUUACUCCGAGCUGGGGGUGGCCGCAGAGACCAGCGAGAAGCGACUGUUUACUAAAAACACAGGUCCGUGCGAAGCCGUAAGGCGAUGUAUACGGACUGACGCCUGCCCGGUGCUGGAACGUUAAGGGGACCGGUUAGUCACAUUUCGGUGUGGCGAAGCUGAGAACUUAAGCGCCAGUAAACGGCGGUGGUAACUAUAACCAUCCUAAGGUAGCGAAAUUCCUUGUCGGGUAAGUUCCGACCUGCACGAAUGGCGUAACGACUUCUCGACUGUCUCAACCAUAGGCCCGGUGAAAUUGCACUACGAGUAAAGAUGCUCGUUUCGCGCAGCAGGACGGAAAGACCCCGGGACCUUUACUACAGUUUGAUAUUGGUGUUCGGUUCGGCUUGUGUAGGAUAGCUGGGAGACUUUGAAGCUCGCACGCCAGUGUGGGUGGAGUCGUCGUUGAAAUACCAGUCUGGUCGUGCUGGAUGUCUAACCUGGGUCCGUGAUCCGGAUCAGGGACAGUGUCUGAUGGGUAGUUUAACUGGGGCGGUUGCCUCCUAAAGAGUAACGGAGGCGCCCAAAGGUUCCCUCAGCCUGGUUGGCAAUCAGGUGUUGAGUGUAAGUGCACAAGGGAGCUUGACUGUGAGACCGACGGGUCGAGCAGGGACGAAAGUCGGGACUAGUGAUCCGGCGGUGGCUUGUGGAAGCGCCGUCGCUCAACGGAUAAAAGGUACCCCGGGGAUAACAGGCUGAUCUUCCCCAAGAGUCCAUAUCGACGGGAUGGUUUGGCACCUCGAUGUCGGCUCGUCGCAUCCUGGGGCUGGAGUCGGUCCCAAGGGUUGGGCUGUUCGCCCAUUAAAGCGGUACGCGAGCUGGGUUUAGAACGUCGUGAGACAGUUCGGUCCCUAUCCGCUGUGCGCGUAGGAGUCUUGAGAAGGGCUGUCCCUAGUACGAGAGGACCGGGACGGACGAACCUCUGGUGUGCCAGUUGUUCUGCCAAGGGCAUGGCUGGUUGGCUACGUUCGGGAGGGAUAACCGCUGAAAGCAUCUAAGCGGGAAGCCUGCUUCGAGAUGAGGACUCCCACCCCCUUGAGGGGUUAAGGCUCCCAGUAGACGACUGGGUUGAUAGGCCGGAUCUGGAAGCACCGUGAGGUGUGGAGGUGACCGGUACUAAUAGGCCGAGGGCUUGUCCUC
rnacentral:rRNA from 1 species